GUAGGGCGGGACACGUGGUAUCCUGUCUGAAUAUGGGGGGACCAUCCUCCAAGGCUAAAUACUCCUGACUGACCGAUAGUGAACCAGUACCGUGAGGGAAAGGCGAAAAGAACCCCGGCGAGGGGAGUGAAAAAGAACCUGAAACCGUGUACGUACAAGCAGUGGGAGCCUCUUAAUGGGGUGACUGCGUACCUUUUGUAUAAUGGGUCAGCGACUUAUAUUCUGUAGCAAGGUUAACCGAAUAGGGGAGCCGAAGGGAAACCGAGUCUUAACUGGGCGUUAAGUUGCAGGGUAUAGACCCGAAACCCGGUGAUCUAGCCAUGGGCAGGUUGAAGGUUGGGUAACACUA
rnacentral:rRNA from 1 species